CAGCUCCAAAUGUUUGUUUCUCCUAGACCUUUGGAGCCCACGAUGGUAUCAGCCUGAGCCCACUGGAGGAUCCUCUGGUACACUAGUGGGCCAGUCCGACGCUGCAAAUGUGUGAGGAACAGGUC